rnacentral:rRNA from 1 species
CCUACGGGAGGCAGCAGUGAGGAAUAUUGGUCAAUGGACGAGAGUCUGCACCAGCAAAGUAGCGUGACGGAUGACUGCCCUCUGGGUUGUAAACUUCUUUUAUAUGGGAAUAAAACGUUCCACGUGUGGGAUUUUGUAUGUACCAUAUGAAUAAGUAUCGGCUAACUCCGUGCCAGCAGCCGCGGUAAGACGGAGUAUCCGAGCGUUCACCGGAUUUAGUGGGUUUAAAGGGAGCGUAGGUGGAUUGUUAAGUCAGUUGUGAAAGUUUGCGGCUCAACCGUAAAAUUGCAGUUGAAACUGGCAGUCUUGAGUACAGUAGAGGUGGGCGGAAUUCGUGGUGUAGCGGUGAAAUGCUUAGAUAUCACGAAGAACUCCGAUUGCGAAGGCAGUUCACUGGACUGCAACUGACACUGAGGCUCGAAAGUGUGGGUAUCAAACAGGAUUAGAUACCCUUGUAGUC